CUAAAGUUUUCCUUUUUUAUAUGCCCUUUAACUGCAGAUUUUAAAUAUGUAUAUAUAUAUAUAUACACACACUUUAAUGUGAGUAGUCCCACUGACAUCAACAAAAGUUUGUGUAUUAAAUGCUGAGCAUUAUAUAAUUCCUAUCUUGAAAGAUUAUGGAAUAGAAGGAUUUGAUUUUGUUAUUACAGCCCUCUGAAAUUUCUAAGAAGCUUUAUGAUGUUACGUACAUUGUUUCAGAAGUUUUUCCUGUCAAAAUAGUUGUAAAUCGGCUGCCUGAGAGCUGUGAUCUGCCUUAUAUACUUUCAUCUACGGGAAUACUAUCUGUUUUUGCAAAACUAAGCAUUGUGAACUUGUUAGUUCGUUGUGAACUUGCGUUAGUCAACUUGUUGGCUAAAAAGGGCACAAUGCAAAUAAAAAUUAACAUCUCUUAAAGGAGGUCAAAUGAACCCAGACCUGACUUUGAGAACCACUGAAAAGUUUCUCAAAUCAGACUUUUCCACUGUAAGUAAAACCGCAUCCACUGCAACAUCCAUCUUUUCCCCUUCCAUACAUUUGAAAAGGAGUCUCUGUCUCAAGCAGAGUUGUCCCUAGCAGUYGGAGACACCAUGGACUUCACUAUUGCCAGUCUAUUUAACGUGUAAUGCAUCCAAAUAGCAUAGUCACAGGCAGCCAUGCAAAAUGCUUAGGGAAAAACAAAUGAAAGAGGUUUUGUUCCCCCUCUCUCCCAGCAAUGUAGUAGAAAUGCCAUCCCAGCAUGAGAAAACACUGGCUGCUCGAGUGCAGAUACCAGUGUAUGUACGCCGUGUUUGCAUCCCGCAGGCUGCAGCAUGAUGCUGUUACAACUGAAGUGACAACGGGAGCCAAACAGAGGGAAGUACAUAUGACUGGACAUAGUCAGAAAUAUGACUGGGUCCCAUUCCUCUAUAUUGAAAUUAUUCCCAUCUUGAGUGACAACUUCAGACCUUUAGAAUGA
rnacentral:lncRNA from 1 species